rnacentral:lncRNA from 1 species
AUAGAGUUAAAAAUUCAUCUCGUGGUUAAAUUUAGAGUCAUACAAACUAUCUCAAUUUCAUAUGAAUAAAAAAUUCAAAUUGCAAACCACAUUUUGAGUCAAUAAUCCUUCUCUUAGGACAGGUACAAAGAAAGUAUCUCAGAUUUAAUAACUCACAAACAAGCUGCCUCAUAAGAAUUAAAAAGAAUCUCAGAUUUAUCACAACUCUUUCAUUCAUUCAUAAUUGCCUCAUAUAACAUUUGUUUUAAAAAGUUUAAAAACUAAAUAGCCCAAUUUGAUUUGGCAAAUCAAGAGAUGUUUAGUAUGGAAAAUUUAAGAUUAGAAUGCAUAGACUUAUUAUAACUAGUAACCAACUUUGCAUAAAAGACCUGUUAACGCUUGUUUUUCUUAGUAUGAAAGCUUACUCAAUAAGAACUUUUGUUUGUACUCUUGGCUUCUUUUAUAAACUUAUUCAUUAUUCUGAAUAAGAAAUCAGUAUCCUUGUUGUCUCUCAUUGAGCAAAAAAAGUUAUUUUACAAUUUGAUCCAUAUCAUAUUUAUUAUUUAAAAUGAAGGAAAACUUUAACUGUUUAAUUUGUAAAUAAAAAUUCAAAAUAAUUGGAGUUCAUGAAAUUGAAUAUGUAUUUAUGUUUUUGUCUAGUCAAAUACAACACAUGGAAAAGCAAGAUAGUGAACAAUAGUAUUAUACUGACACAUAUGCAAAGUGAAAACCUAGUAAAUAGUUUCACUCCUAGAGGCAAAAUCUUAUGUGUCUCACUUUAAACCUAUUGACAAAACCUUUUAUAUGUAACCCAAGUUAUUUAAGGCAUGUUUGAUUAGGUAGACACAAAACAGAGAACAGGUAGAAAAUGAGGUGAGAAUCCAAAUAUUUUAGUUUUUAGUCCUAACCUGAAUGAGCAAUGAAAGCCUAUAAUUUCCACUUGACCCGUAGAUAUGAAAGUAAGAAAGCUAAAAAAAUAUAGUGACCACUUCACUCUUGCACAUGCGAUCAAGUACCGUUACUGUAGAAAUAAAAAGUAAUUUAUAUUUAUAGAAAAACUUCAUAUGUUAUAUUUAUAUUUAUAGAUAAACUUCAUAUUCAUAAAAAGGUUAGUAGCCACUUCAUGAAGGGAAUCUUAAAAUGCUCAAAACAAAAAGAGAACGUUGUGGAUAUCUUUACAAUGCCAAGCAAAUCAAGUAUUCAUAUAUCAAAUCCCUAAAUAAAUCAAUCAAUCCAUUUAUUUUUUAUUUUGGCUUCCUCAACUGAUCCUACAUUUGAACUGUUUUCCAGCUUGAUCUUCAAUGACUAUUUCAAAUUUAUGUGCCAUCAAAGUUAUAAACCAUAAGACAUUAAAUCAGAAAUCAUGUUAUAAAUAACAAAUAUAUGUAAUUGUAAAUCAAAAUACCAUUGAAGAUUUGAAGGACUUGAAUACCAAUAGAACCGAGAAAUUAAGCAAAACAAGCAUAACACAACAUAUUAUAUAACUGGAAAAAAUAACAUGAGUCUGCGGCAUUCGCCACACAACAUGAACAAUGAUUAAUGAUUCUCAUUUCUAAGUUCUAAAACUAGUUCUUAGGUAGCCAAGCAAUGUUCAUAUUCCAAGUACUGACUAUUCAGUCUUUCCACUUCACAAUACUAAACUAACUAUGUUGACAACUAUAAUUAUAUACAUUAUUUUUAAAAGAAUUGGCUGAUGACUAAUUCAACAGCUAUAAUGAGAGGGGAGAGCUACUUUGAAAGGAAAAAACAUCCAGUCUUUUGCUUAAUUAUUCAGUAUACAUAUUUAUUCUCUAUGUGUAUGACAGGCUUAUUCAAUAAGCUCUUUAGUACUCAGAUGAAGUCCAAAAAAGAAAAAGAUAUUCUAUAAAAAAACUAAAGCAUAAAAAAUCUAAUGCAGAAGUAGAAAACUGGCAAGGUACUACUGAUAAAAAUGACACGAGAUAUGAGAGAGCAUGGGACCAGGUACAUAUUUCAAGGGAAUUUCCAAAAAAUUAUUUGUUAUUGACUAUAUCAAAAAUUGUGUACCUCAUUACCAUACUUCAAGCCUGGGCACCUAAUCUUCCGUUGCAAAUCAGAAUCAAGCUUGGUGAGCAUAGAGCCCAACCCAACGACACAACGUCUACAUCAAACUCAUGUUCACAGACCGAUAUGUUAGCACAAUGAAAUCAUAAUCAAAGGAAAUAUAUGGUAACAUCAAUACGGUGGCAUGAAAAUCGUAUCAACAUAAGAUCUAUGAUGCAUAGGUAUGGUACUAGUAUCAUGUAUUGGUACUAGUACGGGAUAUGGUAUUUAAAAAAAAUUAAGGUACGGAUACAUCAAUGAAAAACAUUAUUUUUUUAUAUAAUUUAACUAAGAGAGUUAAAUUGUUCAAUUCACAAUAAAAACUCAAAAUAAAUGUUUAAAAAAUCACAAAUUGUGUUCGGUUACAAUAACAAAUAAACUCAAAUAAACAAAUAAUAUAAUAUCAAUAUAUAACAAAAUCAUCAAUUUCACUUGAAAUAAAAUAAAUAAAAACAGAAUACCCACUAGUAUGAGUACCAGUACCGGGUAAGCACCCAGUAUGCGUACCAUGCUUCAUAGCAUAAGAUGCAUAGGGAGUGUUUCAGCCAUUAUUUUGUAUAUAAAAUGCAAGCAACAUCCCAAUCAUCUUCCACAUCAUUAAUUAGAAAAAAAUAUAAAAUGACAAUAAGUAUUUACCUCUACAAACAAUACCUAGACAUAUGUUUUCCCCAUUCUUUCAACAUACAUUGAAUAAAAGUUACAAACCAAAGGUAGGUGGAAGUUCACAAUUUUAUGCUCCGAGACUAUGUAGAUCAGAUCAAGAAAUAUUGAGUAGCUGUUUUUACCAAUUUUAAGGCAGACAGAUUUGGUGACAGUUUGGUUUGAUGAGGCCGAAAUGCAUAUAUUAUUCUACACAUAACUCAUAAUAUUUCGGAAGUCAACUUGAUAACAGGCUAAUAGAGUAUAAUAAAGACCGAUUUAAAUUAAGACCAUUUUACUAAAAGUAACCGUAUACAUUUAUGUAACAACUCAUUCAUAUAAAGAGUGUUAUAUAGAAGGUUAGAGUUGAUUAUAAAGAAUACUGACCAGUAAUUCCUUGGAUGAAUUUGUCUCAAUAGUCUUUCAUUCUUAACUCCAGUUCACAACACUACACUGAUCAUCUUCAACUCCAAUUUUGCUCUGAGCAUAAUCAAGAAUAGCAAUGGAAAACAAUUUCACCACACCAAAAGCAAUGGAAAGAAAAUAAAAUAACAUAAGAAAAGGGAAACAUGUAAAAGGAAGAUUAAUCAAUUAACAUAAUUCAAUUCCAAGACAGUAUUCAGGGUAACCAUUAAUACUGGAAUUAUAACUCUUUUCAUAAAUCAUUUUUGUAACCAUAGAGCUCUUGCUAUUUCUGUCUGCCUAUAAUUAGAACUCUUGGAUCUGGUAUAAAAUACAUCAUGAACCUAUACCAAAGAGACAAUUGAGCACACAAGGGUAAAAUAAAACAAAAUACAAAAGCUAGCAAAAAAAGCAUUGAAAAAAAACUGAAUAUGCAUCUGAAAUUUAAGUGACAGAAUUUGCAAUUGUAGAUUGAUUGUCACAGAAGAGCACAAUUCCAAUUGCAAGACCCCUAUAUAAUAAAAUUUAUUAACAAUAACAAACAUCAGGACUUCACAACUUGCACAUAUCCCUUCUUCCACACGCUACGUGGUCUGUGCAAAUUUCAAUUUUUAAUUGAUAGGGUCACACUAUCCAUUCUGCUGCCAUCCUCAAUUGACACACUAUAUUGUACUCUGUUUCUUAGAUAGUUCAAUUUUUUCAUCAAUAAGAAAAAAAAGUGUCAUAGUAUCCUAAUAGAAAGUUCAUGAUCAAAGUUCAAACAAUUAUUCAAUCUGAUAACCAAAUAAAGUAAUGUGAUUCCACAGCAUAUUACUAAAAUAAUGUGGUUUGAAAAUGAGCUCAAAAUAGUACGAAAAUUUGGAGUUUAGACAAUUAAAAGCUAAGCAUUUAACUUAUAGCUCAUGCCAACUACUAACAGUGUGACCUCAUGGCCUCAUUAACAUUCUUCUUUAAACAAUAUGAAUGAAUGUAUAGCUGCCUCAUAUGUGACAAUAGAGGGCUUAAGACCCUCUUUCGUCAUCUUUGUCAUCACCUUACUAGCAGUCGCAAAAUCUCCAGCUUUGCCAAGGUAAGUAACCAAAGUGUUAUAUGUGACAAUAUCGGGAUUAACCCCAGUUUCUUCCAUUUAGUUAAGCAUUUCAUAAACUCAUUCAAGCUUCUUCUUCUUACAGAACACACUUACGAGAACAUAGUAGCAAGUUCUAUCAAGACUGAACCCAAUCUGUUUCAACUGUGAUAACAACACUGGCAUCACCCAUCCUUCCAGCAAUGCUUAAGCCAGAUAUCAAACUGCAUGUAAACAAUUGCAUCCGGUCAGCAUCCAGAACUCAACAUCUCAUCAAAAUAUUGCAUGGCUUUAUCAAUAUUGUUCACACCACAGAAUGCAAAUAUCAGCACAGCAUAAGUAACAGCAUUUCCUUUCGGCUUUGCAGAACCCAUCAAUCAAGUAAUUAUAUGAAACAGUGUUUGGCCUAUUUUUCUUCUCAGUUUUCAUCUCUGCCAGCAAACUCAAACUAUCUUCUUCCCUCCCAACUUUACUAAGUUUGUCAAUCAAAGUAUUAUACAAGACCACAUCAGGUUCCACACCAAUCCUAUUCUUUUCUCCUUUACCUCUCAAUUUAUCAAAUACCCCCAACGCCUCAUCGAUCCUCCUAGCCUUGCAUAUGUGAUUAAUAAAAAUCCCAAACGUUAUAACACUGGAUCCGUAUUUUCGUUUCUUCCAUCUCUGCCAACAGUUUAAUGAUCUUUUGAAUGUCUCUUUGCCUUCUGAGUCCGUCAACAAGGCAUUGCAAGAUGCAGCUUCAACAGGACCACCCAAUUUCAUCACACCACCCAAGGGCAUUGAGGCACAAUAUUGUCAUCUCAAUUUAUCGAAUUUAAGGUCAUAUAGACUCAAAUAUCAAAUAGGUGUCUAAGGUCAUUGAGGCACAAUAAUGGCAUCCAAUCCCAAUUUCAUAUGAAUAAAAAACUCAUAUUAAAGGCUAAAUUUAGGGUCAAGAUCCAAUUACAUAUGAAUCAAAAAUUCAACACAUUUAGGGUCAAGAAUCUAUCCCAUAAUUAAAUUCAGUUCAUACAAAAAUACUAUUUCAAUUUCAUAUGAAUAAAAAAUUCAUAUUGCAAGCUACAUUCGGGUCAAGAAUUCAUCUUGUAAUUAAAUUUCAGGUCUUCCAAUCAUACAAUCCCAAUUUCAUAUGAAUUAAAAAUCCGUAUUGAAGGCCACAUUUAGGGUCAAGAUCCAAUUUCAUACGAAUAAAAAUUCAUAUUGAAGGUCACAUUUAGGGUCAAGAAUCUACCUCAUAAUUAAAUUUCGGUCAACCAAAACUACUAUUUUAAUUUCAUAUGAAUAAAAAAUUCAUAUUGCAAGCUGCAAUUCGGGUCAAGAAUUCAUCUUGUAAUUAAAUUUCAUGUCUUUCAAUCAUACAAUCCCAAUUUUAUAUGAAUAAAAAAUUCAUAUUGAAGCCACAUUUAGGGUCAAGAAUCUAUCACAUAAUUAAAUUUCGGUAAUCCAAAACUACUAUUUCAACUUCAUAUGAAUAAAAAUUUCAUAUUGCAAGCCACAUUUAGGGUCAAGAAUUCAUCUUGUAAUUAAAUUUCAGAUAUUCCAAUCAUACAAUCUCAAUUUCAUAUGAAUAAAAAAUUCAUAUUGAAGGCCACAUUUAGGGUCAAAAAUCUAUCUCAUAAUUAAAUUUCGGUCAUCCAAAAAUAUUAUUUCAAUUUCAUAUGAAUGAAAAAUUCAUAUUACAAGCCACAUUUCGGGUCAAUAAUUCAUCUUGUAAUUAAAUUUCAAGUCUUCCAAUCAUACAAUCCCAAUUUUAUAUGAAUAAAAUAUUCAUAUAGAAGGCCACAUUUAGGGUCAAGAUCCAAUUUCAUAUGAAUAAAAAAUUCAUAUUGAAGGCCACAUUUAGGGUCAAGAUCCAAUUUCAUAUGAAUAAAAAAUUCAUAUUAAAUGCCAUAUUUAGGGUCAAGAAUCUAUCUCAUAAUUAAAUUGUGAUCAUCCAAAAAUACCAUUUCCAUUUAAUAUGGAAAAAAAAAUUCAUAUUGCAAGCCACAUUUCAGGUCAAGAAUUCAUCUUGUAAUUAAAUUUCAGGACUUCCAAUCAUACAAUCCCAAUUUUAUAUGAAUAAAAUAUUCAUAUUGAAGGCCAGAUUUAGGGUCAAGAUCCAAUUUCAUAUGAAUAAAAAAUUCAUAUUGAAGGCCACAUUUAGGGUCAAGAUCCUAUUUCAUAUGAAUAAAAAAUUCAUAUUGAAUGUCACAUUUAGGGUCAAGAAUCUAUCUCAUAAUUAAAUUUCGAUCAUCCAAAAAUACCAUUUCAAUUUCAUAUGAAAAAAAAAUUCAUAUUACAAGCCACAUUUCGGGUCAAUAAUUCAUCUUGUAAUUAAAUUUCAGGUCUUCCAAUCAUACAAUCCCAAUUUUAUAUGAAUAAAAUAUUCAUAUUGAAGGCCACAUUUAGGGUCAAGAUCCAAUUUCAUAUGAAUAAAAAAUUCAUAUUGAAUGUCAUAUUUAGGGUCAAGAGUCUAUCUCAUAAUUAAAUUGCGAUCAUCCAAAAAUACCAUUUCAAUUUCAUAUGAAAAAAAAAAUCAUAUUGGAAGCUACAUUUCAGGUCAAGAAUUCAUCUUGUAAUUAAACUUCAGGACUUCCAAUCAUACAAUCUCAAUUUCAUAUGAAUAAAAAAUUCAUAUUGAAGGCCACAUUUAGGGUCAAGAUCCAAUUUCAUAUGAAUAAAAAAUUCAUAUUGAAGGCCACAUUUAGGGUCAAGAUCCUAUUUCAUAUGAAUAAAAAAUUCAUAUUGAAUGUCACAUUUAGGAUCAAGAAUCUAUCUCAUAAUUAAAUUUCGGUCAUCCAAAAAUACUAUUUCAAUUUCAUAUGAAUGAAAAAUUCAUAUUACAAGCCACAUUUCGGGUCAAUAAUUCAUCUUGUAAUUAAAUUUCAUUCAUAUUGAAUGUCAUAUUUAGGGUCAAGAGUCUAUCUCAUAAUUAAAUUGCGAUCAUCCAAAAAUACCAUUUCAAUUUCAUAUGAAAAAAAAAAUCAUAUUGGAAGCUACAUUUCAGGUCAAGAAUUCAUCUUGUAAUUAAACUUCAGGACUUCCAAUCAUACAAUCUCAAUUUCAUAUGAAUAAAAAAUUCAUAUUGAAUGUCAUAUUUAGGGUCAAGAGUCUAUCUCAUAAUUAAAUUGCGAUCAUCCAAAAAUACCAUUUCAAUUUCAUAUGAAAAAAAAAAUCAUAUUGGAAGCUACAUUUCAGGUCAAGAAUUCAUCUUGUAAUUAAACUUCAGGACUUUCAAUCAUACAAUCUCAAUUUCAUAUGAAUAAAAAAUUCAUAUUGAAGGCCACAUUUAGGGUCAAGAUCCAAUUUCAUAUGAAUAAAAAAUUCAUAUUGAAGGCCACAUUUAGGGUCAAGAUCCUAUUUCAUAUGAAUAAAAAAUUCAUAUUGAAUGUCACAUUUAGGAUCAAGAAUCUAUCUCAUAAUUAAAUUUCGGUCAUCCAAAAAUACUAUUUCAAUUUCAUAUGAAUGAAAAAUUCAUAUUACAAGCCACAUUUCGGGUCAAUAAUUCAUCUUGUAAUUAAAUUUCAGGUCUUCCAAUCAUACAAUCUCAAUUUUAUAUGAAUAAAAUAUUCAUAUUGAGGGCAACAUUUAGGGUCAAGAUCCUAUUUCAUAUGAAUAAAAAAUUCAUAUUGAAUGUCACAUUUAGGGUCAAGAAUCUAUCUCAUAAUUAAAUUUCGGUCAUCCAAAAAUACCAUUUCAAUUUCAUAUGAAAAAAAAAUUCAUAUUGCAAGCCACAUUUCGGGUCAAGAAUUCAUCUUGUAAUUAAAUUUCAGGACUUUCAAUCAUACAAUCCCAAUUUCAUAUGAAUAAAAAAUUCAUAUUGAAGGCCACAGUUAGGGUCAAGAUCCAAUUUCAUAUGAAUAAAAAAUUCAUAUUGAAGGUCACAUUUAGGGUCAAGAAUCUAUCUCAUAAUUAAACUUCGGCCUUCCAAAAAUACUAUUUCAAUUUCAUAUGAAUAAAAAAUUCAUAUUGCAAGCCACAUUUCGGGUCAAGAAUUCAUCUUGUAAUUAAAUUUCAGGUCUUCCAAUCAUACAACCCGAAUUUCAUAUGAAUAAAAAAUUCAUAUUGAAGGCAACAUUUAGGGUCAAGAUCCAAUUUCAUAUGAAUAUAAAAUUCAUAUUGAAGAUCACAUUUAGGGUCAAGAAUCUAUCUCAUAAUUAAAUAUCUGGUCAUCCAAAUAUAUUAUCUCAAAUUCAUUUCAUAUGAACAAAAAAUUCAUAUUGAAGGCCACAUUUAAGUCAAGAAUCUAUCUCAUAGUUACAUUUGGAAUCAUCCAAGCAUAGCGACCAACUUGCCUUAAGGGUACAUAUUGCAACUUUUCAAUUUUUAUCAACCUUCUCAGUCAAGAAUAAUCAAGAAUCAUCAAGAUUAUAUACAUUCUUGGAUAAUCAAUUAUAAAUGUUGCAAACAAAAAACCUACACCAAAACAUUUGUGUCAAACACAAUUUUGGAAACAGAGAAUGUUUGCUCAAUAGAAGAAGAGAAUCAAUAGAUCAGAAAUCAAAGGAUAAUGGGUUGAAAAUGAAAUAGAGAGAAAUUUAUAUCUCUCAUUCAAAUGAAGCAAAUCAUGGACAGCAGAAAUUUGAAUCCAAAUAACAAAGUCUGUGACUUCGUUGUCAUCUUUUUACGGCACCAAUUGAAAUCAGAAUUCUAGGGUUCGAUUGACCAAGAUUCAUAGAGAUUGGGCGUUCUUGGUUGAUUUUCAAGAACAUGAACGGGAACGGAAAGCUUUAUAUUUUAUUUUGUAUCACCAUUUGUGACUAUGCGAUCAUCUGUUUUUUGGCACCAAUUCAAAUCAAGAUUUCUAGGGUUUUAAUUUCAUGAACACCAUUACCGUCAACGUCGCAACGAAUAAGAAAGAAAAAAUGGCUCAAAACAUCAACGCCAAACACGAAGAUGACACCGGUCGAAUCGAUUAAUGCAGAAGAUUGAAAAUUGAGAUGGAAAAAAAUAGAUAUCGAAUUCAAGAGAUUAGGGUUGAGAGGACACACCUUUGUUUUUCUUUUUCUGGUUCCGUGACAAUAAUUGAAUUCAACAGAGAUGUUCUAUUUUUUCCUAUUUCCGUCUUACGCCUCUUUCACUGAUAAAGCAACCACAAUCUUUAAACCCAAAGAAAGAAGGAUAUGUC